AGACAAAAAAAUUGGGUUCAAUUCUUCAGCUGUAUUUUCAGUAAAGCAAAUCGGUCAGGAAGACAAUGCAGUGCUUCAUAUUAUCAUGAAUAGUCAGGGAAAAUUUGUAAUUGUAUGUGCAGCAGUUUUGUAUUUCAAUGUAUUUCUUUCUUGACUGUCUUUUCCAUCUUAAAUUCAUGGGGGGGGUGGGAACAUUUUGCUGUUUUAUACAGGGGUCUCAUUGUGUUGUCUUGAAACGUUUUAGAUUUGCAUGUAUUCUCAUUUUAACAAUAAAUGUAGUACUUUCCUU
rnacentral:misc_RNA from 1 species